rnacentral:rRNA from 1 species
UUAAGCGACUAAGCGUACACGGUGGAUGCCCUGGCAGUCAGAGGCGAUGAAGGACGUGCUAAUCUGCGAUAAGCGUCGGUAAGGUGAUAUGAACCGUUAUAACCGGCGAUUUCCGAAUGGGGAAACCCAGUGUGAUUCGUCACACUAUCAUUAACUAAAUCCAUAGGUUAAUGAGGCGAACCGGGGGAACUGAAACAUCUAAGUACCCCGAGGAAAAGAAAUCAACCGAGAUUCCCCCAGUAGCGGCGAGCGAACGGGGAGCAGCCCAGAGCCUGAAUCAGUGUGUGUGUUAGUGGAAGCGUCUGGAAAGGCGCGCGAUACAGGGUGACAGCCCCGUACACAAAAAUGCACAUGCUGUGAGCUCGAUGAGUAGGGCGGGACACGUGGUAUCCUGUCUGAAUAUGGGGGGACCAUCCUCCAAGGCUAAAUACUCCUGACUGACCGAUAGUGAACCAGUACCGUGAGGGAAAGGCGAAAAGAACCCCGGCGAGGGGAGUGAAAAAGAACCUGAAACCGUGUACGUACAAGCAGUGGGAGCACGCUUAGGCGUGUGACUGCGUACCUUUUGUAUAAUGGGUCAGCGACUUAUAUUCUGUAGCAAGGUUAACCGAAUAGGGGAGCCGAAGGGAAACCGAGUCUUAACUGGGCGUUAAGUUGCAGGGUAUAGACCCGAAACCCGGUGAUCUAGCCAUGGGCAGGUUGAAGGUUGGGUAACACUAACUGGAGGACCGAACCGACUAAUGUUGAAAAAUUAGCGGAUGACUUGUGGCUGGGGGUGAAAGGCCAAUCAAACCGGGAGAUAGCUGGUUCUCCCCGAAAGCUAUUUAGGUAGCGCCUCGUGAAUUCAUCUCCGGGGGUAGAGCACUGUUUCGGCAAGGGGGUCAUCCCGACUUACCAACCCGAUGCAAACUGCGAAUACCGGAGAAUGUUAUCACGGGAGACACACGGCGGGUGCUAACGUCCGUCGUGAAGAGGGAAACAACCCAGACCGCCAGCUAAGGUCCCAAAGUCAUGGUUAAGUGGGAAACGAUGUGGGAAGGCCCAGACAGCCAGGAUGUUGGCUUAGAAGCAGCCAUCAUUUAAAGAAAGCGUAAUAGCUCACUGGUCGAGUCGGCCUGCGCGGAAGAUGUAACGGGGCUAAACCAUGCACCGAAGCUGCGGCAGCGACGCUUAUGCGUUGUUGGGUAGGGGAGCGUUCUGUAAGCCUGUGAAGGUGUACUGUGAGGUAUGCUGGAGGUAUCAGAAGUGCGAAUGCUGACAUAAGUAACGAUAAAGCGGGUGAAAAGCCCGCUCGCCGGAAGACCAAGGGUUCCUGUCCAACGUUAAUCGGGGCAGGGUGAGUCGACCCCUAAGGCGAGGCCGAAAGGCGUAGUCGAUGGGAAACAGGUUAAUAUUCCUGUACUUGGUGUUACUGCGAAGGGGGGACGGAGAAGGCUAUGUUGGCCGGGCGACGGUUGUCCCGGUUUAAGCGUGUAGGCUGGUUUUCCAGGCAAAUCCGGAAAAUCAAGGCUGAGGCGUGAUGACGAGGCACUACGGUGCUGAAGCAACAAAUGCCCUGCUUCCAGGAAAAGCCUCUAAGCAUCAGGUAACAUCAAAUCGUACCCCAAACCGACACAGGUGGUCAGGUAGAGAAUACCAAGGCGCUUGAGAGAACUCGGGUGAAGGAACUAGGCAAAAUGGUGCCGUAACUUCGGGAGAAGGCACGCUGAUAUGUAGGUGAAGUCCCUCGCGGAUGGAGCUGAAAUCAGUCGAAGAUACCAGCUGGCUGCAACUGUUUAUUAAAAACACAGCACUGUGCAAACACGAAAGUGGACGUAUACGGUGUGACGCCUGCCCGGUGCCGGAAGGUUAAUUGAUGGGGUCAGCGCAAGCGAAGCUCUUGAUCGAAGCCCCGGUAAACGGCGGCCGUAACUAUAACGGUCCUAAGGUAGCGAAAUUCCUUGUCGGGUAAGUUCCGACCUGCACGAAUGGCGUAAUGAUGGCCAGGCUGUCUCCACCCGAGACUCAGUGAAAUUGAACUCGCUGUGAAGAUGCAGUGUACCCGCGGCAAGACGGAAAGACCCCGUGAACCUUUACUAUAGCUUGACACUGAACAUUGAGCCUUGAUGUGUAGGAUAGGUGGGAGGCUUUGAAGUGUGGACGCCAGUCUGCAUGGAGCCGACCUUGAAAUACCACCCUUUAAUGUUUGAUGUUCUAACGUGGACCCGUAAUCCGGGUUGCGGACAGUGUCUGGUGGGUAGUUUGACUGGGGCGGUCUCCUCCUAAAGAGUAACGGAGGAGCACGAAGGUUGGCUAAUCCUGGUCGGACAUCAGGAGGUUAGUGCAAUGGCAUAAGCCAGCUUGACUGCGAGCGUGACGGCGCGAGCAGGUGCGAAAGCAGGUCAUAGUGAUCCGGUGGUUCUGAAUGGAAGGGCCAUCGCUCAACGGAUAAAAGGUACUCCGGGGAUAACAGGCUGAUACCGCCCAAGAGUUCAUAUCGACGGCGGUGUUUGGCACCUCGAUGUCGGCUCAUCACAUCCUGGGGCUGAAGUAGGUCCCAAGGGUAUGGCUGUUCGCCAUUUAAAGUGGUACGCGAGCUGGGUUUAGAACGUCGUGAGACAGUUCGGUCCCUAUCUGCCGUGGGCGCUGGAGAACUGAGGGGGGCUGCUCCUAGUACGAGAGGACCGGAGUGGACGCAUCACUGGUGUUCGGGUUGUCAUGCCAAUGGCACUGCCCGGUAGCUAAAUGCGGAAGAGAUAAGUGCUGAAAGCAUCUAAGCACGAAACUUGCCCCGAGAUGAGUUCUCCCUGACUCCUUGAGAGUCCUGAAGGAACGUUGAAGACGACGACGUUGAUAGGCCGGGUGUGUAAGCGCAGCGAUGCGUUGAGCUAACCGGUACUAAUGAACCGUGAGGCUUAACCUU